AUUGAACGCUGGCGGCAUGCCUUACACAUGCAAGUCGAACGGUAACGGGCCUUCGGGUGCCGACGAGUGGCGAACGGGUGAGUAAUGCAUCGGAACGUACCUUUCAGUGGGGGAUAACGUAGCGAAAGUUACGCUAAUACCGCAUAUUCUGUGAGCAGGAAAGCAGGGGAUCGCAAGACCUUGCGCUGAUUGAGCGGCCGAUGUCAGAUUAGCUAGUUGGUGAGGUAAAGGCUCACCAAGGCGACGAUCUGUAGCGGGUCUGAGAGGAUGAUCCGCCACACUGGAACUGAGACACGGUCCAGACUCCUACGGGAGGCAGCAGUGGGGAAUUUUGGACAAUGGGGGCAACCCUGAUCCAGCCAUGCCGCGUGAGUGAAGAAGGCCUUCGGUUGUAAAGCUCUUUCGGUCCGGGAAGAAAUACGCAUGGGUUAAGUACCCUGUGCGGAUGACGGUACCGGCAUAAGAAGCACCGGCUAACUACGUGCCAGCAGCCGAC
rnacentral:rRNA from 1 species